AACUUUGCAGCCCAAAAAAAUAAAGUCCGUCACUGUUUCCCCAUCUAUUUGCCAUGAAGUGAUGGGACCAGAUGCCAUGAUCUUAGUUUUCUGAACUUACUUUUCCUUAUUCUUCUUUGAUCUCUUUUUUAUUCUCGAAUCAUUUUUGAAAGACGUAUUUUUCUUUUAUUUCUUUGGGAGAAGAGGUAAAUGUGCAUCUGAGAUUCUGUGGUUCACUGGGAUAAUUCUUUUGAACAGCAGCCUUCAUCUGCAUUCUGAUCAUUGCGUUUCUUUCCUCCUUUUCACUUCUUUUUAAAUUUGCUCUUGGUCUUACUAGUAUGCCUCAGUCUGCAUGGAAACACGGACUUUGCUCUGAAGGGAAUGCUGUCCUGUCAGGGCUGGAGAGGAGGGUGAAUAUGGAGAGGAGCCGUGGGUAAGCUAGGGCAGCUGCAGGGUUCACACUGGGUCUGAUUCAACAGACUCAAGAGUAGUUUAGCCACAGUCAUCGUAUUCUGUGACCUCCCUCAUAAGGGAGUCCCCUAAGCCCGACGUCAGGAAGGAUGGUGAGAGACUGUGGCCCUUGAAGCUUUUGUUUAGUUGUUUACAUCUAUUUGUAGUUCCUUGUUUGACUCUCAUCAGCCACUGUAAAACUGGCUGCCAUUACCACUGAGUCAUCCUCUCUGCUUCGCCUCCUCAAUAGGAAUUCUAUUGAGGGGGAAAUAAAUAUGUCUUGCCCAACAGUGUCCUUCCAUCUGCCUCACCAUCCUCUCUUCUCUACUAUGAAGAACAACCCCCACACGAAGUGCAUUUGUCUCGUGUCCCAACCCCACCUUCAGUCCUUGGUCUGAGGAAAGGAGCAUCACCUGGGCCACUUCCAGCUUUGAGAGGAAUCUGAAUCCUAACUGCAACCCAGAAGGUGCGUCUCAGCUCUCUACAGCCUCCCUUGACUCAGUCCUGAUUCACUAAUCUUGGCAGAUAAUGUGAGUUUGAGAUUUUGGCUAUUUCCAAGUUUCGUUGCAAAUGGACUUUUUCUAUCAAAAUUUCAUCCUUUUACAUUUCAUCCCUUUUGUAGGUUUCAUGGAAGAGGGUAAAGAAUAUAAAACACGGGUAAGAUGAGAUAUCUCUAAGCAACAACAGUAUUAAUUAAAGGCAUUAAAUGGGGUCGGUGGAUGGUCACCAUUAUUAUGACGGUGAUAAUGAUGAUGAAAGCCACUAUGGAGGGACUUCCCCGAUGGUCCAGUGGUUAAGACUCCACACUCCCAAUGCAGGGGGCCUGGGUUUGAUCCCUGGUCACGGAACCAGGUCCCACAUGCCGCAACUAAGAGGUCACACCCCACAACUAAAAAGAUCCUGCAUGCUACAAUUAAGACCCUGCACAGCCAAAUAAGUGAGUUUUUUUUUUUAAAGGCACUAUGGAGAGUGUGACCAUGCCCUUUGAAGGCAUGAUAAAAGUUAAAAGGAAAGAGAAGAAAUGAUGAACCACAUUUAUCCUAAGUAACCUGAGGUAGGGGGUUAGGAUGACAAGACAGCGGGCUUUUCAAUACAGAUAUGGGCUCACCUCUCGGGUGGUACAAUUACUUUAUGCCCUCAAUGAAAUCACUCUUCUCUGACCGUCUGUUUUCUGUUCGUUCAAAUACUCAAUAUUUCCAGUCUGUUGUCAGAAUCAAGUGGAAUAAUGCAGGCCAAAGUCCCUACACAGUGCCCAGCUCAUAGUAGCUAUUUCAUAAAUGUUUAUUUUCUUUCUGAAUUAACUCCACUUGUUUAUUAUGCUUCAUCCUUUGAUUGCCAUAUUUAUGCUGCCAUAUUAACUAUUUAAUACAAAGGAAGAUUUUGUUUUAAAGAUGAAUGUUCUUAUCAACCUGUUUAUUACAGCUGUUAUGUAAUUGUAUAACUCAACGAUAUCACUGCUCUACGAACCUUAUCUCUAAAAGUAUUAGUCUGACUCUUUGCAACCCAAUGGACUAUAGCCCACCAGGCUCCUCUGUCUAUGGAAUUCUCCAGGCAAGAAUAUUGGAGUGGGUAGCCAUUCCCUUUUCCAGGGGAUCUUCCCGCUCCAGGGAUACAACCCAGAUUUCCUGCAUUUCAGGCAGAUUCUUUACCUGGUCUGAGCCACCAGCUGUCAACCAAUAUAAAGCUGGUAUAAGGAAAUGGUAUUACCAUGAUGUACACUUUAUCUUAUAUCUUGUCUUUUAAACAGAAAUUCUAACCCCUUCUUUGAGAGGGAGAUGCCUGUAACAGAUUUGAACUGGGUUUACCCUGGUACAUACUUAGACAAUUUCUCUACUGAUUCAAGGUCAUCUCUCUGAGAAUAUUUAGCAUCUGCUUGAGGCUGGCUUAGAACCUUGCCACUGUUUUCCACAGAGGCGCAAUAUUAUACACAUAAAAAGAAAAUAGGUCAGAAUCUUCUGUAGUUGUGCUGCCUGGCUCCUCAGCUAAAGGUCACUCUUAAUCCUCCUGCAGCUCCCAGAACGCAGUGUGCAAUGUUUUGUUUUGUUUUAAUAUUCCAGAAAGGAAAUGGCUUCCUUAAAGAAAACCAGGGAACACAUUUUUUCCUCUUGAGUGCAAAGGACCCCCAAGUGGUUCACAAUUCCAUUUAAAACCCUGCAAAGCUGAGUUCUGGGGAAAAUUCAAGAUGGUAUUUUUCCUAUAGUUAAAUUCUGAGACCACAUCCCUGGAUAGAACCUUGGCUGGGACUUUCACCAUCAUAGUUCUGAGAAAGGGGAUGGAAAAUGGAGAGGACUCCAUGGGCCAGGGUCACCACACACAAGCACAGAGAACGGCAGUAGCGUGGCCUGAGAGUUUCUGAGCUGGGGCCGACGGGAGACAACACUGCUGCUCAGAAAACACAGAAACCAAAAGGAAGUCUGCAGAUGCGCCGGGACAGCUUCAGGCUGCUGUGAAGGAUGCGCCCCAGAGCAAAGGGCACGGAUACCCGCAAGGCUAAGCUGGAGAGCUGCCCCUUGCCCCCUUGGCGUUCCCACUGCUUACAAGGAGCAGCAGCUGCCCCCAGAUCUCCAUCUUCAGCCAACCUGGUCCAUCUUCCAGACACAUUGGCAGUUCCUCCAUCAGCCUGAGGACCGUCCACCAGUCAGACGGCACGCACUUCAGAAACACAGAUGAAUGCCGUUUGGAGAGGAGCUGUGAAAGUUGGGUUUAUACGCAGAUACAUUAAGAAGAUACAAGUAAUGCUAUUCAUCUCAGUCCGUGGGCCUGUCCUCUGGGCCAGAGGUAAAGAGGCCACUCCAGUAGGAGUGUUUACCUUAGGUCCACAGACAUCCAAUGGGGCGUCUAUAUGGUAUUCCAGGGAUCUAUAUAUUUGGAUCGGGGAAAGAUUUAUUUUCACUAAUCUGUUACUGAAAUUUAGUAUUUCUUUCAAUUAUGAAAUAGGGAACAAACCAUAAGAGUUACAGUCACCAACCAUUGUUGUCAAUAUCUUGAAAUAUCAUUAACAUUCAUCACUACUUUGAAAGUACAACACUUACUAAACCCACCAAUACAUCUCACUUAAUGUACUAAGAAGCAUCUAUGUUGCUUUAUCACUUCUUCAAUACAAUUGGUUUCCUUAGCAUCCUAUGUAUUCUGUUUUAUACUUUUCAGAAUCAUUCUGAGAAGUGAUCCAGAGGCCCUACCAGACUUCCAAAGGGGCUGUGGCUUAAAAUCAAAGAUUGAGACUCUGUGCACUAGAGUUUCGCAGACAAGUUUGAAUUGCUGACUUAUAAAUACAUCAAUCACAACUGAAACAUGGUGGAUGAUAAUAACCAGUGCUUAAGGAAUCUGAUUUAGGCAUGGGCUCCUACCAGGUGUUCAGCCCUCUUGGGUCAAGAAACUUCAAUGAAAGGGUGGAGAGAAAGAGAAUCUCUUGUCAGCAAGCUUUGGAACUGCAAGGCAAGCCAUUGCAUAACUACUGCCUUGAUUCACUGGUUGGACGCCUUUAUUCAGCUUGCUGAGAUUAUGAUAUUCCUGUCUUCAAGGAUGAUUAUAGGUUACUAGGCCUACAGGUUCAAAACUGCCCUCUGCAGCUAUUUGUCAAUUCCUCUGACUCUUGAUUCAUUGCCUAUUGAGUUCCCAGUUCUUUGCCCUAGAAGUUCUGGCUUAUUACUCUGACUUAUGGUUUCACUUAGAACUUUACAAUGAAAGACAGUUCUCUGUCUUCAACAGAAGUUGACUCCGUAGUGUUAGGUCCUUCUGGCCUUGAGAUGACUCUUCCCUUAAUUUCAGCUGAUUCAUAUUCUCAACGCCUGACUCAGCGUCAUGACUUAAUAAUGAUGACAUCAUUUUCAGCUCAUGAAAUUUGAAGAGAACCAGGAACAGGAAUAGAGGAGGAAAACGUGUAAAACGAGGGGCAGGAAGAAAAGAAAUACCAAAUGGAUGACUACCACCGCUCCUCUGUCUCGGAAUAAAAUAGAAACUUUACUAAUA